CCCAGACUCCUACGGGAGGCAGCAGUAGGGAAUCUUCCGCAAUGGACGAAAGUCUGACGGAGCAACGCCGCGUGAGUGAUGAAGGUUUUCGGAUCGUAAAGCUCUGUUGUUAGGGAAGAACAAGUGCCGUUCAAAUAGGGCGGCACCUUGACGGUACCUAACCAGAAAGCCACGGCUAACUACGUGCCAGCAGCCGCGGUAAUACGUAGGUGGCAAGCGUUGUCCGGAAUUAUUGGGCGUAAAGGGCUCGCAGGCGGUUUCUUAAGUCUGAUGUGAAAGCCCCCGGCUCAACCGGGGAGGGUCAUUGGAAACUGGGGAACUUGAGUGCAGAAGAGGAGAGUGGAAUUCCACGUGUAGCGGUGAAAUGCGUAGAGAUGUGGAGGAACACCAGUGGCGAAGGCGACUCUCUGGUCUGUAACUGACGCUGAGGAGCGAAAGCGUGGGGAGCGAACAGGAUUAGAUACCCUGGUAGUCCACGCCGUAAACGAUGAGUGCUAAGUGUUAGGGGGUUUCCGCCCCUUAGUGCUGCAGCUAACGCAUUAAGCACUCCGCCUGGGGAGUACGGUCGCAAGACUGAAACUCAAAGGAAUUGACGGGGGCCCGCACAAGCGGUGGAGCAUGUGGUUUAAUUCGAAGCAACGCGAAGAACCUUACCAGGUCUUGACAUCCUCUGACAACCCUAGAGAUAGGGCUUCCCCUUCGGGGGCAGAGUGACAGGUGGUGCAUGGUUGUCGUCAGCUCGUGUCGUGAGAUGUUGGGUUAAGUCCCGCAACGAGCGCAACCCUUGAUCUUAGUUGCCAGCAUUCAGUUGGGCACUCUAAGGUGACUGCCGGUGACAAACCGGAGGAAGGUGGGGAUGACGUCAAAUCAUCAUGCCCCUUAUG
rnacentral:rRNA from 1 species